ensembl:lncRNA
CUUCAGUAUCUUGCAUAGCAAUAUCUUCAAGUACAUAUAAUAUAUUCAUUUCUCUAGUUUCUAUGGUACUACUGUCUCAAGUGUCUUUGAGGUGCAUAGAAAAUAUCAUCAAUGAAGUAGUAGAAUAUAACAUUAAAUAUUUCUGCUUGUUCUGCUUAUGUUUGUUUCUAGUUUCAGGUCUUAUCUAAGGCAAAGAUUACAACCAAAUAGAAAUAUGGUAUGCUGGACCUUAAGACAUUUUCAGCAUUUUCUACUGCUCUCUUUCAAGUGUACAUCUUAGGAUCCAUGUAACGUGGUGUCUGUUUUUCUUCUUUCAAAAAAUGAGAAUGACCAAGAGGAAAAAUGAAAAAAGAGUGAUGCACCACCAGUCUGGUGAUAUUUGUUCUAUCAGGCAUAGACGGAAUGUUCUACUUCUCUAUUUGAGCCAAACCCCUAGGUUUUCAGGAUGAGAGCAGAUCCCGACCUGUGUCUAUUCUUGAAUAAGGCUGACCUUUGAAGGAACCUUGCUAAUUGCAGAAAAAGGCACAGAGUUCUGGCUCAAGCUAUCCUGGAGGAAGAAGAAGACAGAAAAAGCUACCAAAGACCUGGAACUGAACCUUGUGAGAACCACCUUCUCGUUCCCACUGCCCCCCAGGCACCACAGGAGGGCUAGCAAAAUCUGAGUGUUAGCUAGUGUCCCUUAUCUAUCUUUUCAAAAAUGUCUGGAGUCACUUUUCUGACUAUCUGAGCUCUUUAUGAAAUUAAAGUUGAAGAAAAUUAUUUACUUUGCAUAAAACAGUAUGAUAUAUAUUCAAUUGUAUUAAUAAUACAUUCUGUCAGAGUGCCCAUCUGCUGCC